AACAAGAAUAUGAAUCACAAAAAAAUUACAAAAACAUAGAGUACUAGAUUUUAACCCGCGGAGGCAAUUCAUUUUUUAAAAUUAAUAUAUAUAUAUAUAUAUAAUUUGUAAAUUAUUUUAUAGUUUACAAUUGUUACUAAGUAACGUUCUGCCAAACCCGUCCCGCCAAACCGUCCACAAAAAAAAUUAUUUAUUUUAUUAAUGUUGAUCUUAUUUAUAAUAUGUUUAUGAAUCAUUGUCAAAAGAUUUUAUUCGUUGCGGGAUGUUGAACCCACACAUUUUUCGUCAAUUAGUUAAUAUAUGUUCAUUCUUAAAAUUUCGAAUCACAAAAUAUGACGAAUUUUGUGUUGAGAUUUUUUAAACUCUAUAUAUUAUAUAAUGAUGUUAAGUUUUUUUGAUAUAUUAAACUUUUUAUAAAUUUAAAUAUUAUUAAUGUUUUAUGAAUUUUAAAUAUAUAAAUAAGA
rnacentral:sRNA from 1 species